GACGAACGCUGGCGGCGUGCUUAACACAUGCAAGUCGAACGGUAAGGCCCUUCGGGGUACACGAGUGGCGAACGGGUGAGUAACACGUGGGUGAUCUGCCCUGCACUUCGGGAUAAGCCUGGGAAACUGGGUCUAAUACCGGAUAGGACCACUGCCUGCAUGGGUGGUGGUGGAAAGCUUUUGCGGUGUGGGAUGGGCCCGCGGCCUAUCAGCUUGUUGGUGGGGUGAUGGCCUACCAAGGCGACGACGGGUAGCCGGCCUUAGAGGGUGACCGGCCACACUGGGACUGAGAUACGGCCCAGACUCCUACGGGAGGCAGCAGUGGGGAAUAUUGCACAAUGGGCGCAAGCCUGAUGCAGCGACGCCGCGUGAGGGAUGACGGCCUUCAGGUUGUAAACCUCUUUCAGCACCGACGAAGCGCAAGUGACGGUAGGUGCAGAAGAAGGACCGGCCAACUACGUGCCAGCCGCCGCGGUAA
rnacentral:rRNA from 1 species